AUUGAACGCUGGCGGCAGGCCUAACACAUGCAAGUCGAGCGGAUGAGUGGAGCUUGCUCCAUGAUUCAGCGGCGGACGGGUGAGUAAUGCCUAGGAAUCUGCCUGGUAGUGGGGGACAACGUUUCGAAAGGAACGCUAAUACCGCAUACGUCCUACGGGAGAAAGUGGGGGAUCUUCGGACCUCACGCUAUCAGAUGAGCCUAGGUCGGAUUAGCUAGUUGGUGAGGUACAGGCUCACCAAGGCGACGAUCCGUAACUGGUCUGAGAGCAUGAUCAGUCACCCUGGAACUGAGGCACGGUCCAAAAUCCUAGGGGAGGCAGUAGUGGGGAAUAUGGGACAAUGGGCGAAAGCCUGAUCCAGCGAUGCCGCGUGGGUGAAGAAGGUCUUCGGAUUGUAAAGCACGUUAAGUUGGGAGGAAGGGCAGUAAGUUAAUACCUUGCUGUUUUGACGUUACCAACAGAAUAAGCACCGGCUAACUUCGUGCCAGCAGCCGCAGUAAUAC
rnacentral:rRNA from 1 species